UUUAUUCAUCUCUCAAAUAUUUUCUGCGAAUAAGUCUUCACAUAAUCAUAUUCUCUCUUACUGCUCUUUUAAUAAGAGACUUGCUCGUUGCUCCUCAUAAAAAGAACAAAAAUAUUGAUAUUACGUUGUAUAAUUACUAAUAUUUCUGACCGCUCACAGAAUUUGUGUUCAUUUUGUUUUCUUGUCAGUAUGUAACAAGGAGGCAGUAUGUCAUAGUGGCUGAUUUGGAGGAAGGAUUUAUAUUUUUUAGCUUCCCAUUAUGAUUGAAUAAGAACAAUAGAUUAAUUUUCCUAUUGGCAGCAGACACGUGCUGAUUGACUAUUCAACAUUAGCUUGCAGUUCACUAUCAGGGCCAAAAUGAAGCUGCAAUUCACUCGCAUAGUCCUUCUCAUGAGGCAGGACCUGGAGGUAUUCUGACAGCUGUGAAUCGAGUGCGAGGUCUUCCUUAGCCUUUUGUGCAAGCUAUGGUUGAUUCUGCUACAACAUACAUAUUGGUCUUAGGACCAACACUGUUGCCAAGUCGGGUGGGACGGGUAAGAAACCAAAGCAGUAGUUGGUCUGCUAUGCUAUGUCUGCACAUGAUGUUUGUAU